UUUCCACGACAUCUGAAAAGACUACAUAUGUCGAAAUGUGGUGGUUGAAAGCCUUAGAAAUAUGAAAAGGUGGAUGAUGAGUUAAUAUAUCAAACUGUCAGUCCUGGAAAAAAUAUUUUUUUUAAGUUAGAGGUAGUGAUGCUUCUUUUUUUUCCCCCAAACUAUAUUAAACCAUGUGUCUUUGUCUGUGUUCAUUGGUGCAGUCGACUAUGAGGUCAAGUACCUGGAGCUUGAAAUACUUGGUAAAGGAAGCUUUGGCUCAGUUUAUGCCGGCCAUAGGAGGUCUGAUGAUUUACUAGUGGCGAUAAAACACAUCCCCUAAUCGUCUGUUCCGCCUCAAAGAGUGAUGUUAAAUGGGAGGCCACACAGUAUUCCCAAGGAGGUGCUGCUCAUGCAGAAAGCUGCAGGCGAACCAAUGACUGUGGGUUAAUGGACUGGUACGAUCUGGACCAAGUGUUUAUACUGGUCAUGGAGAGGUCUAUGGAACUGCUGUGCUUCAUAAAGGAGAACUGUGGUCCGAUGGCCGAGGCUGUUGCAAAGGUACUGUUGUUUUAUUCUUUGUGUGAGCUGUUUCUCAGACUACAA